UUCACUAUGGCAGAUUUUUGUAUGCAUAGCUCAUACCCUAUCUUUUCUCUCCUAGAGGUCUAAAAUGUCAGAGAGGUUAAUUCUUAAGAAUAUGGAAAGCAAUUUUAAAUUAACUGUGCAAGCCUAUGUGUUAGAACAUGGAUGGGGAGGCUCAGGCCCAGCAGCCAAAUGCAGCCAUCCAGGCCUGCCUAUCUGGCCCUCAAAACUGUCUCCAGGUCACACCCAUCACUCUGCUUUUUCGCUUGGUUGGAAUAUAUUCCUUAACUUUGAUAACGCCUCUUGCCUGCCUGGAUGGAAUAUAGAGAGAUACUGCCUGGGAUAUAAAUCUCCACUUAGAAGUCUCGUUGAAUGAAGUCCUAUCUUCAACAGGUGCCAAAAAGACAAUGAAUACAUUUCCUGUCUAAUAUGCAAUAGGAGGGAGUUCCAAAGGAUGCUGGAAGAGAUGCCUCUAGCCGCCGCCUCCUUCCAGACAGGAUUCCAAACAGCAGUUUGAACCAACAGCUCCCAAAUAAUGCAGAUGGAAGGUAAUAUGGUGGUUUUCCCAUUGAAGAAAAUCAACAGGCUCCAAAAGUGCAUUUUACAAGCACCUGGAUGUUAAUGGAUUUAUCCAGAUUACGUUUCGGUUGGGGACUGCCAUAUGUGCACAAAAAAGGGUCGGUUUCCAUCAACUAGUGUUGCCGGCUGCCUGCCCGAUUUCCCUAAAGGGCGAUAAGCUGUUUGUUGGCACGAUGCACAUCUACAAAAAAAAGUCGCUCUAGGGGAAUAUAACUAGGAGAGUGAAUAAUGCACCGAGCCGAAGCAGCGUGUCUUUAAACCGUCGUCAUCGUCCCCCUUCCCUUUCCAAAAAAGAGAGAGAAAUGAUGAUUAAAACAAAGACGUCGUGGUUGGCACUAAUGGUUUUCCACCAUGCGAUCCAUAUUCACGUAGUCCAAGGUGGAAAAAGGAAUUGCAUUGGAAGGAAUACAGCGGGGGAGGAAAGGAAGAAGGAAAGCUUGAUGUAAAAACCAAAUGCCUCGUGGUGUAUUUUGCCCACAAGAAACGAAAUAUUAUUUGACUGAGUGCCAUCGUGCUAAAAAUACUAGAGGGUUGGCAAAGGGGGGGGUCUUGAGCGGCAGCGAAUGCACAAAUCUGGACUCAUCACACAAUGAAGUCUUUAGGGAAAAGAAAGGAUGGGCUGUUAAACCUUAGAGCGCUGCUGUCUUCUAAACGUUCUUUUAAAACGCAUUGCCAGCACAGCGGCAUUUUUUUGGGGGGGAUGUAUAUACAAUUCUCUCAAACUACCUCUUGUUUGCUUUUGAAGCAGCGAGAGGGGAGAUUAUUGGACAUUUCUUAUCUUUCCACUGUAGCCAUUUAAACUGAAGGCACGGAAGAAUCAGCCCACCAUGGAGCUACCUUGAGCUAUAAUCCUGUCCAGAGCUAGGUGUGUCUAAAUUCACGGAUUUCAGUAGGGUGGAAAAGAAGGGGAAGUCUUCAUAGGAUUGGGCUGCACGUUGUUUACAAUAGAAAGCCCCUCCCCCACUCCUGUCGAAAUUCAGAACCUUUUAUUUUUCACACAAACCAUCAUGGCUCCGACGUGCAGUACAUGAAAACGAACUAGGAUUAUUGGCUCCAUGUGGCUAGGAGCGUUUUCAAGUACACGUGGAUGCUUUUCUCUUUUUUUGGAAAAGACACAAACAGAUAUCCUGAUGGUAUUGGCGUCAUCAACUUCAUUUUUUAAGGCUUUGCAGUCUCAGCAGCUUUUUUAAUUUUAAGAUACAAAUCAAAGCUAAUCAGGCAGCGAGAUUUAAUUAGACCCGUAGGCUCCUCGCAAAAUAUUUUAUUUCAAACCAAUAUCGAUGGGGGAAGGGAAUGUUUCUUUCACAGCCGCCGCCGCCGCGGCAGCAGCUGCUAUAAGCAUUUUUCACAUCUGGCCUACAGACCUAAUAAUUUUCAACUCGUGAUCUCGUGUGGCGAAACGCGAUCUGCGUGGUUUAAAUACUUUCCAAAUUGGGACGAUUGAACAAUUGCAACCAAUUAAAGCAAAAACUCAAACCUCCCUAUCUGUUGAUUCUCUCCGUCCCCC